rnacentral:rRNA from 1 species
UACGUAGGGUGCGAGCGUUGUCCGGAAUUAUUGGGCGUAAAGAGCUUGUAGGCGGUUUGUCGCGUCUGCUGUGAAAAUCCGGGGCUCAACCCCGGACUUGCAGUGGGUACGGGCAGACUAGAGUGUGGUAGGGGAGACUGGAAUUCCUGGUGUAGCGGUGGAAUGCGCAGAUAUCAGGAGGAACACCGAUGGCGAAGGCAGGUCUCUGGGCCACUACUGACGCUGAGAAGCGAAAGCAUGGGGAGCGAUCCGG